rnacentral:rRNA from 1 species
UCCUACCUACGGGGCGCAGCAGUAGGGAAUCUUCCACAAUGGGCGAAAGCCUGAUGGAGCAACGCCGCGUGGGUGAAGAAGGUCUUCGGAUCGGAAAACCCUGUUGUUAGAGAAGAAAGUGCGUGAGAGUAACUGUUCACGUUUCGACGGUAUCUAACCAGAAAGCCACGGCUAACUACGUGCCAGCAGCCGCGGUAAUACGUAGGUGGCAAGCGUUAUCCGGAUUUAUUGGGCGUAAAGGGAACGCAGGCGGUCUUUUAAGUCUGAUGUGAAAGCCUGCGGCUUAACCGGAGAAGUGCAUUGGG